GCCCAGCAACAAUCAUCUUUAUUCCUUGUGGGUCUGGUGGAGUACUAGGUUCAGCUAGGCAGUUCUCAUUCAGGGCCGCUCACACAGUUGCAGUCAGAGGCCAGGCCUGGUGUCCUCUUGAAGGCUUCCUCACAUCCACAUCACUUGCAGUGAUGCUGGUACCGCAGCUGGGGCCAGGGCCAGCUUCGUGGCCCCACAACUUGCAUGGCUGAGCAAGGUGCCACACUUGGAAGAGCCAUAUGCUUGGUUUAAAGCUCUAAAUUCUUAACUUUUUAACAGUACCCUCCAC
rnacentral:lncRNA from 1 species